rnacentral:rRNA from 1 species
CCUACGGGAGGCAGCAGUGGGGAAUAUUGCACAAUGGGGGAAACCCUGAUGCAGCGACGCCGCGUGAGUGAAGAAGUAAUUCGUUAUGUAAAGCUCUAUUAGCAGGGAAGAAAAUGACGGUACCUGAGCAAGAAGCCCCGGCUAACUACGUGCCAGGCGCCGCGGUAAUACGUAGGGGGCAAGCGUUAUCCGGAUUUACUGGGUGUAAAGGGAGCGUAGACGGCAGUGCAAGUCUGGAGUGAAAGGCGGGGGCUCAACCCCCGGACUGCUCUGGAAACUGUACGGCUGGAGUGCAGGAGAGGUAAGUGGAAUGCCUGGUGUAGCGGUGAAAUGCGUAGAUAUUAGGAAGAACACCAGUGGCGAAGGCAGCUUACUGGACUGUAACUGACGUUGAGGCUCGAAGGCGUGGGGAGCGAACAGGAUUAGAUACCCUUGUAGUC